AAAUCUGGUCUGCCUAUGCUUAAAAGUUCCUUUGAACAUUCUUUUUUAAAAGACUGUAUGUAUCCAAGUUGCUGUUUAUAAGCCCCACAGUUUCUAGUACAACAGUUCUAGAAAUUCAGAUUUUUUCCAAAAAUUUCUGGAAUUCUAAAUAUUCUAAAUCUUGGAAUAUUUAUGAGGUUGCACAAUCAUAAAUCAUAUAGCUUCUUGUUAUUAUAUCACCCAGUGAAAGCAAUGUUAGUUGAAUCAGUCAUGGGUCCAGGAUCGUAACUCUUGAAUAACUCAGAAAAGAAAAAAAAAGGUGUUCAGGCUGACUUUUAUGAUUUUAUGCUGACUUUAUGUUAAUUGUACAAUUCAAAAUACUGUCUCACAUAUCUGGUCCCAGAAAAGUAAAUCUUUAAAACUGAUAGAUCAGAAUUUCAUGACAGGAAUAGCCAGUUAAGGAGUUAGGCUUGUCCUUUUGGCCCUGAAUAGGGUUGGUCAAUAAUAUGUUAAAUCUAAAAAAAAAUAAAAAUAAAAAUAAAAAAAUUUGCUCAAAGGUACCUGUUAGUUCACAAGGAAGAAGUUUAAAUAGGUUAUAAUUACUAUUUAACUGUCUGAAUAGCAUUCACAUUCUCAUCUAUUAAUCACUGUGUACUCAAUACUGUGGCUUGGAAACUUUUAUAACAUGCAGUCUACUUGAGUAUAUAUGUUUGAGUUAAUUUUCCCAACUAUAGAAACUGGCAGUAUAGACAUAUGGAAACAGACAACCUGCCUCCAUCUUCUUGUCAGGAUCCUCUGCCACCACUAAAACCUCAUCACAAUACUCAGCCUUUCUGCGUUAAACUGUUCUGCAGCCACAGAUAGCUGUUCAGGCAGCUGUUCUGGCACAAGGUGAUCCUUCCUCAGAUCAUGUAUGGAACAUAGGGGCUGCUGGUACGUAUUUUGGACAUUGCGCAGGACAUCACCUCAGAGACACACAGAAAGAUAUAAAACGAAUUCCAGCACUUAGAAAGUGUUUCUUUAGCACAUCGUUUGAUGUGUUUGGAGGCACUUGAACAUGGACAGGCAUUCACUGCAGAACACAUGGACUUAACAUUUUUUUUCACUUUCUAGCUGCUUAACAUCACGUCUCUAUGAGGUAUCACUUCUAUGGCAGAGCAAACUGUCUAUUUUUCAUCCACUGCAGCAUAAAGACAUUCAAGCUAGCUUAAACCAGUUUUUCACUGGAGCAGAUGAGGUGUAUUCAUGUGAUCAGUUCUAGUAUCUCUGAACACUAACUUCCAAAAAAAGCUUUUUGACAACUUAAAGUUGACAACUUUUUAAAAUCAGUCCAUUGAAAUUCACU
rnacentral:lncRNA from 1 species